UGUAGUUAGUUUGUCGAUUAUCCCUUUCACUCGUGUGCUAAAACAUUAUCUUAAUGUUAUUAGUGAGUGUAGAUGCUAAAGUAUUCUUUCUCUAUUUAUUAAGUUUCAAUUCUGGAGGCUUCACUUUCCAAAUGUAGUAUAUUAAAGCUUCCAGUUUUCUUUUAGCUGAAAUACAAUCCUUUGUCCCGAUUUACACUGUUAUUAAGAGUAGCUUAACAAGUCAAUGGUUUUCUAUAGUUUAUGCCAAGCCAAUUUAAUCUGCUGUAUGAGAUUAUCUUCAUAACAAAGCAGUAGGUGAGACAGGUAGAUCUUAGUUUUAAGGCUUUACAAAGCUUGGAGGUAGUACUGAGUAAAUAAGGUUCAAAGCUUGGAGGUAGUAAUAAG